rnacentral:rRNA from 1 species
UAAUGUCUGGGAAACUGCCUGAUGGAGGGGGAGUAACUACUGGAAACGGUAGCUAAUACCGCAUAACGUCGCAAGACCAAAGAGGGGGGACCUUCGGGCCUCUUGCCAUCAGAUGUGCCCAGAUGGGAUUAGCUAGUAGGUGGGGUAACGGGCUCACCUAGGCGACGAUCCCUAGCUGGUCUGAGAGGAUGACCAGCCACACUGGAACUGAGACACGGUCCAGACUCCUACGGGAGGCAGCAUG